GACGAACGCUGGCGGCGUGCCUAAUACAUGCAAGUCGAGCGCCGACGGUUGGUACUUGUACCAAUUGGAUUAGCAGCGAACGGGUGAGUAACGCGUGGGUCAUCUGCCUCUGAGCCGGGGACAACAUCUGGAAACGAAUGCUAAUACCGCAUAAUAACUUUAAACACAAGUUUCAAGUUUGAAAGAUGCCAUUGCCUCACUCAAAGAUGAUCCCGCGUUGUAUUAGCUAGUUGGUGAGGUAAAGGCCCACCAAGGCGAUGAUACAUAGCCGACCUGAGAGGGUGAUCGGCCACAUUGGAACUGAGACACGGCCCAGACUCCUACGGGAGGCAGCAGUAGGGAAUCUUCGGCAAUGGGCGAAAGUCUGACCGAGCAACGCCGCGUGAGUGAAGAAGGUUUUCGGAUCGUAAAACUCUGUUGGUAGGGAAGAACGUUGGUGAGAGUAGAAAGCUCAUCAAGUGAGGGAAACAACCAAGAAGGGGACGGCUAACUACGG
rnacentral:rRNA from 1 species